rnacentral:lncRNA from 1 species
UUCCAUAUUAUACCCAAAUUUUAAACUGCAAAACAAAAGUGAUAUGCUAAGAUAAUAAAAUAUAAAAUACAUAGUAUAACCAUCACACUAUGGUGUAAUUUCUGAAUCGCUAUUUUACCCCUCACUAUUUUUUAAUUUCUACCAAAAGUUUCUUCUAUUGUUUGUACCAUAGAAGAAAUAUCCAACUUCAUUAAAAAUUGAAAAUAAUAUGAAACUCCAAAAUAGCCUCACAGCAUCACAGCAUCACCUCAUUGAUCAUCGAUCAAUAUACCAUCUCAGCAGCAUCAAGAGAAACCAGAAUCAUAACAACAAUAAAGAAAUAUCCAUAAGCACAUAUUUAGAGCAUGUCAACUGCAUUGCAGAUCUUAUAUUACAGUAUUUAAAGUGGGAACAUAAAAUAGUAAUUGGUCAGAAAUAAUUGAGAAUUGCACCGUGCCUGUCAAAUUUAUAUAAAACACAUAAAAUAGUUGCUCUGAUACUAUAUAAAACUGAUUAACUUAGUCAAAAUUCAACCUUAUAAAGGAUAUUUUCGAAACCUUAGGCUAGAAUCAGAAAACUAUUACACCUAACCCAAUUAUUGAUUUAUUAAAAUAAUAAGUUGUGACAGCAACAUUUCCAGAACAUGCUAGAUUACUUAAAAUAAAAGCAACAACUUGUUUAGUCCUUCUAUAUGGCUCUUAAAAUUGACACCAGACAAAGACAUCUACCACUAUAGAAAGAGACCACAUGGAAACUUUAUUUUACUUUUGAAUACAUGAUUUUCAAGUUAUAAUUAACAAUUCUAUAAAGGGCUCUCAUUUUUUUUUUCUGGAACAGAUUAUAUACACACUUACACAGGCUCACCAACCCGAUGUUAAUAUAAUAGUAUAAGAUCAUGUUAGAUUUUCAGUUAUAUCAAAAGGUUAAAUAUUUGAUUAUUGAUAGUAAAUUACACAUUCCAAAAGAAUUUAGUUCACGACUUAUAAAGUGAGAGAAUAUUAGAACUAAUAAUUUAUUCCUCAUUUCAGGUAUUUCUCAUCCUUUCUCUAUUUCUUUUUUCAUUUUUCUCUCUACUAUAACAAAUUUAAGAUAUCUUAAUAACCAAUAACUCACCAGAACUUCUACUUUUAUUGUGUUGUUUAUUGAAGAACAUGCUACUACUACUACUCACCUUGGCUUGGAAUUUGUUUCAUUAGAACCAAAAAUUUUAUUGGCUUCACAAAAUAAUUUCUUCCAACUCUCAGGUAUUUCUCAUACCAUCCUGUUUUUUCUUCUAUUUUUCUCUCUUCUAUAACCAAUUUAAAAUCUAAAUAUGGUAAUAACCAUUAAGUUGCAACACACAUAAACUUCUAUUUUUAUUUGUUGUUAAUUCAGACUGUAUGUUUGUACAUAUUUCACCACUUAACUAGGGACUACCAUAGGUUGCAUCAUUAUUUGAUGAACCAGUUUGUGUAACUUCAAACAUUUUCAGGUACUUUUCACCUCUUUGCUUUUUUUCUUCUGAUUUUCUAUGUUCUAUAAUAUAUGUUACUACUUAUAAACUUCAUAAUGAACAUCCUACUCUUUAGACUACAAAAGAAAAUAAAAGAAAUAUUAUUAUUAAAGAAACAUAUCCUAUAUCCCUACUCCAAAAAGAAAAGAAAGAAAUAGAAGAACAAUCAUUACCCUAUACCCCUCUGCUGAAUUUUAUAAUAUAUACAUAUGUAAAGUAGACUUGAUGUCCUUAUUAUUAGUUCAAAAUAAAAUGAUAUCCUUAUUAUUUAAAAAAAUAAUAAUGUCAAAUAUGAUAUUAAAAUUUAAAUAUUAUAUUUUAAAAUAUACAGUUUUCAUCUUGCAAGCACUACAAUUUUCAUCUUUACAAACCCAAGAGUUUGAUUUUGUUGCUGUAUAUUACUUGGUAGUGUAAAUUUGUGUUGAUUAGGCUUUGAUGAUUUAGUACCGCUUUAAAAAAGUCAUUAUCCAAAAGUUACCUUAAUAGGAAAGCUGAAAAGUUCAGAUUAUUUAUGCGGAUAAUGUUUUUUUAAAAAUUUAAUCUGCAACAGAAGUUACAGAACAAGCAUAUAAAUGUUAAAAGUGAUGUUUUUUCAACCAAAGGAAUCACUUUUUUGGUGUGAAAUAGUCUAAACAAAUGAACCCCUUAGUAUACUCACCUCCCCAAUGGGGUACCUAUUGAAAUGUAUGUAUAUAAAGUAGAAGUGAUUUGUGUCGGUUUAAAAACGGGAGAGGUACUAUGUGUAGUUUAACUUGACAACGGGAGAUGUCCGUAUAACUUACUCUAUUUUGAACUAAUAUAAAGCAUGUGCCUUGACACAUUGAAAGGCUUGAUGUCCUUAUUAUUUUAAAAAAAAAUGUUAUAUAACAAUGGUAUCAGUAAUGUGUUAUAAAAUUUAAAGUGCAUAAAUAAAUAAAUAUAUUUCAAACUCUUAAAAUAAAGUUAUACUUGUGGCAUGAAGCAUGAAGCAUUCAAUAGAAUUAAGUCAAUAUUCCUUCGAUAAUAAGUCUAGAUUCGGUAUAAAUUAGAAUUAGAAUGGGAAAUUCAUAAGGAACCCAUUUACCGAACUCAGCAAAGAUAUCAAAGAAGCAACAACCAAACCCGCAAACAAGUUUCAAAAUUGUUUAACAAAACAGAAAGAGAAAGAGAAAAGGAAAGCAAUAAAUGAAUAAGAAAUCCAAUUGAAAUUUGAUACAAACCUUCCAUGUUAGCAGAGAUGAAGCAUAGUAGAUGAAAUAAUAAGAUAGAGAAGAUGAAAACUAAAGCCCAGAACUUUCUGUCCAUAUCUGAUUAUGUAGCUAACCUCAGAUCCAAACAAUAAUUCAAACUCCAAUACAAGCUCAUCACAGAAACCCCACUCCUCCUUCUUCAAAACCACUAACACAAAGAACUCAAAUAACCCAAAACCCUAACUCCCAAUUACCACCCGAUCUCAACAAAAUACACCACCUUUGGAAGAACCCAGAAAUCGAAACCCUAACAAAAAUCAAAAUUUAUUUAUUGAAAAUUGGUUAAAGUUAAAAGAAGAGAAAUGGGUAUUUCAGUUUGUGGUGAAGUGAAGAAGACAGAGAUACAAUGUUUGUAUUUCUUUCUUUGUCUAAGAACUGUUGUUGUUGUUGUUAAUUGUUAAUUGUUACCUGAAAAUGUUAUACAAUAUUUAUUCAUUUAUUAAUUAAUAACCUCUGGCCUAAAAUUCCACGAUGAGAAAAUGUUAAAUGAUUGAAAUUAGAGUGAGGGAGAGAGGUGGGGAUAAGAGUGAUUAUAUGAUUAUUCCAAUUUGCAAAAGUAGAAUAAAGUUAUGAAAUAUAAACUCUAAGACAUAGAAGGGAGAGUGGGUGACCUGGUGAAGUUGAUCUUUAUAUAGAGAGAUAUUGGAAGCCAAUUCCUAUAUGUUUACUUCUUCACCUUCCCCUUCCAUUUCUUCUCUCUUUCUCUCUACGCCUUCAAAAAUCAAUCAAUUCAAUUACUCCUAC